UCCGAGUUUCACUCCCUAUCCCAUGCUGUAACAUACCUUCAGUUGCUUCGGCGGACUCGCCCCAGCGUCCGGACGGCCUCGUGCCGGCCGCGGCCUGGAGCCAGGCGGCCGCCGGGGACCCCCAAACUCUCUGUAUUGUACAGUCUCUUCUGAAUCCGCCGCAAGGCACUAUAAAUGAAUCAAAACUUUCAACAACGGAUCUCUUGGUUCUGGCAUCGAUGAAGAACGCAGCGAAAUGCGAUACGUAAUGUGAAUUGCAGAAUUCAGUGAAUCAUCGAAUCUUUGAACGCACAUUGCGCCCGCCAGCAUUCUGGCGGGCAUGCCUGUUCGAGCGUCAUUUCAACCCUCGAGCUCCCCUUGGGGAGCCCGGCGUUGGGGACCGGCAGCAACCGCCGGCCCCGAAAUACAGUGGCGGCCCGUCCGCGGCGACCUCUGCGUAGUAACAUCAACCUCGCACUGGAGACCCGACGCGGCCACGCCGUAAAACACCCAACUUUCUGAACGUUGACCUCGGAUCAGGUAGGAAUACCCGCUGAACUUAA
rnacentral:rRNA from 1 species